UAACCUGCCCUGGAGCGGGGAUAACAUUUGGAAACAGAUGCUAAUACCGCAUAACAACAAAAGCCACAUGGCUUUUUGUUUGAAAGAUGGCUUUGGCUAUCACUCUGGGAUGGACCUGCGGUGCAUUAGCUAGUUGGUAAGGUAACGGCUUACCAAGGCGAUGAUGCAUAGCCGAGUUGAGAGACUGAUCGGCCACAAUGGAACUGAGACACGGUCCAUACUCCUACGGGAGGCAGCAG
rnacentral:rRNA from 1 species